GGCUCAGGAUGAACGCUGGCGGCGUGCCUUAAGCAUGCAAGUCGAACGGAGAUUGUGCAUAGCACUAAGAGAGUUAAUCUCGAUUGUCUUUUUUCAAUUUGUUGUGCGCCAAGGUACGAAAUCAGUAAAACUAUAUUUUUUUGGCGUAUAACGAAUGUGAUAAUUGACAAUGAUUUUAACUAUUUUUGUGCUAUGCACGAAAUCAGUGGCGGACGAGUGAGUACAAGCAAGGAACGUACCCUAAAGUAUCGCAUAGCUCGUCGAAAGACGGGGUAAUACGGUAUGUGAACGCAAGUUUAAAGCAGCAAUGCGCUUUAGGAGCGGCCUUGUACCUAUCAGCUAGUUGGUGAGGUAACGGCUUACCAAGGCUACGACGGGUAGGGGGUGUGAGAGCAUGACCCCCCACGAUGGCACUGAGAUACGGGCCAUACACCUACGGGUGGCAGCAACUGGGAAUCGUUGACAAUGGGCGAAAGCCUGAUCACGCGACGCCGCGUGAAGGAUGAAGGCCUUCGGGUCGUAAACUUCUUUUGCCAAGUUUCCGAAGCUUGGCGAAUAAGCAUCUACUAACUACGUGCCAGCAGUCGCGGUAAUACGUAGGAUGCAAGCGUUAUCCGGAAUCACUGGGCGUAAAGAGUCGUGUAGGCGGUCUUCCGCAUCGUAUUUGAAAGCCCGAGGCUUAACCUCGGUGUUGGAUACGAGAUGGGGAGACUUGAGGGUAGAAGAGGGAAGGGGAACUCAUAGUGAAGCAGUGAAAUGCGUUGAUAUUAUGAGGAACACCGAAGGCGAAGGCACCUUCCUGGUAUACACCUGACGCUGAGACACGAAAGCUAGGGGAGCGAAGCAGAUUAGAGACCUGCGUAGUCCUAGCCCUAAACGCAUGCCUGCUAGAUGCCCCCGUUUUGCGGGGGUGUCGUAAGCUAACGCGUUAAGCAGGCCGCCUGGGGAGUACGAUCGCCAGAUAAAACUCAAAGGAAUGACGGAGGGGCAAAUC
rnacentral:rRNA from 1 species